GUUAUUUUCUGCCCCGGCUGCUGGUGGGGCUAGCCUGGCGCCAGCCCCCGGGACCUGGAGAGCUAGGGGCGGGGGGCUGGACAUUUGCCCCUUAACCCUCCACCCCCCCCAAUGCCCUAACGAUGCCAGGAGGCCGCCGCUGAAAACUCACUCAUUUCACUGUCAUGGCGUCUCCCGUUGAUAACCUUAUAUUUUCUCCACUGAUGAAUGAGACUUCUUAAAUAUUCCAGCUGACCACAGCGUGUCGGGAUGACUUGGAUGUUAAACUCGCAGACAUGUCAAUGGUAGUCAAUUGAUCCAUCACGUUGCGGAGGGCCACUGGGCUUAGAGAAGGCCAAAGCGGCUUGAUCCUCCUCAAAUCCAAAGCAAACAGGCACAACAUGGCCGCCCUGAUGCGCCGCAGCCUCGGGGCCUGAAAACAGGAGUUCCCCUGAGCAGCUAUCAAAAGCUUUGCUUCCCGCCAAGUGCAAAGGCCUCACGAUCCCCUGGAGUCUCAGAGGGCGAGGAAGACACGACCGGAGUCAACAACCUUCGUCUGUCCUUUUCAAGACCUUUACCCGCUCAGAGCAAAGCGUCUCAAUGAAUCCAGAACUUUCACUGUAAAUAUACAUAUUGAAGCCAUUACUCGAGGAGUUUGGAUGAGUCAAACGAUGAAGAAUGGCAUUACUCGAGCAGCAAAAAAGACAAGUCUUUCUUUUGAAGACGAUACUCCGUCUCCGGUUGUCGGUUGUGUUUUGCUUCCCUGAAAACAUGCACUUCAGAGAAGGAAGCGAGUGACUGGCCGCGUUCAAAAGGGAGAAUGGUGCCAAACGCUGGGCAAGAUCAACUACUCAGGACUGUUUCCUUUGCCAAGGACGCGCUGCCCUCUGCACAGCCCUUAAUGGCGACGGAUCCCCCUUCAAGGCUGUGAGCCCACGCGGCGCUCCAGUCUGCCUUCAU
ensembl:lncRNA